rnacentral:lncRNA from 1 species
UUGUGUAUUUAGCGGUCCUGAAUGUUCUUCCAUUUGUUUGUGUUGUAGUCAUGUCAAAUACUGGUGCCAUUUUAGUGUUAUAUUUAACAUUGUCGUACAAGCGGGAGGUUUGUCUGGCUACAAAACUUGCAAGUUCAAACAACCAUUUUUUUCUAAAGAUGUCAGGGAUAUUGCUAUUGUUAUCUGAUAGUUCGUUUCUGUGUGUGUUACAUUGUCGUUUUUUUUAUUUUGUUCCCUUUUUGCGUUUCUGUU